rnacentral:rRNA from 1 species
CCCUUAGAUGUCCGGGGCCGCACGCGCGCUACACUGAAGGAAUCAGCGUGGCUUUCUCCCUGACCCGAAAGGGUUGGGAAACCCGUUGAAUCUCCUUCGUGAUAGGGAUUGGGGCUUGAAAUUGUUCCCCAUGAACGAGGAAUUCCCAGUAAGCGCGAGUCAUAAGCUCGCGUUGAUUACGUCCCUGCCCUUUGUACACACCGCCCGUCGCUACUACCGAUUGAACGGUUUAGUGAGGCCCUCGGAUUGGUCUCGGCCCGCUCUUUACCGGGCGGCGCCGUUGGUCGAGAAGACGCUCGAACUUGAUCGUUUAGAGGAAGUAAAAGUCGUAACA